UACGUAGGGCGCGAGCGUUGUCCGGAAUUAUUGGGCGUAAAGAGCUCGUAGGCGGUCUGUCGCGUCGGAUGUGAAAACCCAGGGCUCAACCCUGGGCCUGCAUUCGAUACGGGCAGACUAGAGUACGGCAGGGGAGACUGGAAUUCCUGGUGUAGCGGUGAAAUGCGCAGAUAUCAGGAGGAACACCGGUGGCGAAGGCGGGUCUCUGGGCCGAAACUGACGCUGAGGAGCGAAAGCGUGGGGAGCGAACAGG
rnacentral:rRNA from 1 species